rnacentral:rRNA from 1 species
GACGAACCGUGCGAACGUUAUUCGGAAUCACUGGGCUUAAAGCGCGUGUAGGCGGGCCGGAACGUCAGUCGUUGAAAGCCCCCGGCUCAACCGGGGAAGUGGCGCUGAUACGACCGGCCUGGAGGAACGUAGGGGGAGCUGGAACUUCCGGUGGAGCGGUGAAAUGCGUUGAGAUCGGAAGGAACGCCCGUGGCGAAAGCGAGCUCCUGGACGUUUACUGACGCUGAGGACGCGAAAGCCAGGGGAGCCGGAACGGG